UUCCCCUCGAGAUAAUCUCAAUCCCUUACCCGAACUCUGGUUUUCUUUUCAAAAUACUCUCUCUUAUGUGUCCUAAUGCAUUAUUAUCAUUAGGUGGUAACUCUUCCAAUUCCAUAGCCCAAUUCCCAAACGGAAAAUAGAGUUGUUUUUCCCAUAAUAUCGUAAAACCCGAUUUUGCUCUUGUAGGGUAAAAGGGGGCGUCGACACAAGUUUGUACCAAAACCUGAAAGUAAAGAAGCUACGAAUGUCAAUACGUCACUUAUGAAGUUCACGACGAAGGUGAGCAAGAAGCAGAGUAUGAAAUCCACUUCUUUUCAAGACAANNNNNNNNNNNNNNNNNNNNNNNGUGCCCAUGACAUGGAAUUGAGCAUGGCCUCUGCUGGAAAUGAAAGGCUGCCCAUCUAUGAACCUCGCAAAGCGAAUGACAAGCAAGAAGUCAGGAAGCGGGGAAAGUUCGUACCUAAGUCAGAAAGAAAAGAAGCUAUGAAUGUGAAUACGUCACCUAUGAAAUUCACGACGAAGGUGAGUAAGAAGUAGAGUAUGAAAUCCACUUUUUUUUCAAGACAAGCCAAGUGGAAAGUUGACUCUAAAAGAGAUGCAGGAGAAAGAGUACCCAUUCCUGGAUUCUGAUGUGCCAGCCAUUUUCAAAGAACACCUCGAGUUAAAUCUCAUUGAGCUUCCGGAGAUGAAACGACCAAAUGAAGCUGGGAAAUUAAUGACCCAAACUACUGCAAAUAUCAUCGACUUGUAAGCCACCCUCUGAAGAAGUGCUUUGUUUUCAAGGACAAAGUCAUGGACUUGGCUCGCGAAAAGAAGAUCGUGCUGGAAGAUGAGGAAGAUGCUGGAAAAUGUCCUAUUUGUGC
rnacentral:lncRNA from 1 species